rnacentral:tRNA from 1 species
GGUGCGUUAGCUCAGUGGUAGAGCGGCUGACUGCAGAUCAGCAGGUCAUUGGUUCAAACCCGAUACUCACCU